rnacentral:tRNA from 1 species
GGAGAGGUGGCUCAGAGGUUAAGAGCACUGGCUGCUCUUCCAGAGGUCCUGAGUUCAAUUCCCAGCAACUACA